rnacentral:rRNA from 1 species
AUUGAACGCUGGCGGCAUGCCUUACACAUGCAAGUCGAACGGCAGCACGGGUGCUUGCACCUGGUGGCGAGUGGCGAACGGGUGAGUAAUACAUCGGAACGUACCUUAUCGUGGGGGAUAACGCAGCGAAGGUUGCGCUAAUACCGCAUACGCCCUGAGGGGGAAAGCGGGGGACCGUAAGGCCUCGCGCGAUUAGAGCGGCCGAUGUCUGAUUAGCUUGUUGGUGAGGUAAAAGCUCACCAAGGCGAUGAUCAGUAGCUGGGCUGAGAGGACGAUGAGCCACACUGGGACUGAGACACGGCCCAGACUCCUACGGGAGGCAGCAGUGGGGAAUUUUGGACAAUGGGGGCAACCCUGAUCCAGCAAUGCCGCGUGAGUGAAGAAGGCCUUCGGGUUGUAAAGCUCUUUUGUCAGGGAAGAAACAGCAGCUCUAACACAGUCUGCGAAUGACGGUACCUGAAGAAUAAGCACCGGCUAACUACGUGCCAGCAGCCGCGGUAA